rnacentral:tRNA from 1 species
GAGGUUGUGGCUCAGAGGUAGAGUGCUUGCCUAGCAUGUAAUAGGCACUGGGUUCAAUCCUCAGCACCACA